UUCACAACAUGAAGUAUUUAACCAAUGUCAAGCAAAGCCGGGAACAAAUCGUAACUUUCAAGUUCGUCAAAAUGAUUUUAUGAUUGAAUAUGGACAUACAUGCAUAGUACCGAAUAUAAUAUUUUGAUAUGUACAGCAGAGUAUAUUUGCAAACUAAUUUUGCUUUAGGUUAAUGGAAUCUGAAGAAACUCAAGGAUUUGAAACAACUAAUG
rnacentral:lncRNA from 1 species